ACUACGGGGGGCAGCAGUGAGGAAUAUUGGUCAAUGGGCGAGAGCCUGAACCAGCCAAGUCGCGUGAAGGAUGACGGCCCUACGUGUUGUAAACUUCUUUUGUCAGGGAGCAAUUGGGUCCACGCGUGGGCUUAGCGAGAGUACCUGAAGAAAAAGCAUCGGCUAACUCCGUGCCAGCGGCCGCGGUAAUACGGCGGAUGCGAGCGUUAUCCGGAUUUAUUGGGUUUAAAGGGUGCGUAGGCGGAAUAUCAAGUCAGCGGUAAAAAUUCGGGGCUCAACCCCGUCGUGCCGUUGAAACUGAUGUUCUUGAGUGGGCGAGAAGAAGGCGGAAUGCGUGGUGUAGCGGUGAAAUGCAUAGAUAUCACGCAGAACUCCGAUUGCGAAGGCAGCAUACCGGCGCCCAACUGACGCUGAAGCACGAAAGCGUGGGUAUCGAACAGGAUUAGAUACCCGAGUAGUC
rnacentral:rRNA from 1 species